GGUUUCAACGGAUGGAAUGUUGCAUACUCAAGUAUUUCGUUGCAUCAUAACGAUGGAAGCGUUUCAAGAACCGAAUUCACAUUUACAUAUUUGAAAUUUGAUCCUGGCGUGCCGUACAUUAUAGGGCCAGAAGACUUUAUUGAGAAAAUCUACAAUACGUUUAACACCAAGACAUCGAAAAUUAGCGACUUGAAAGUGGUUGACUGCGAAACCAUUCACACAUUACCGAGGAUCACAUUUAGUCAUUCUAAUCCAUAUUCACACAUAGAUUUAACUCUGACUGGAAAUGAUUACAUCAAACAGAUGACGGAAAAUGGUAAACAGAUCUGCACAGUUCAACUGUUAUCACACAGAUACUCCGACUGGAUUAUGGGAAGCGUUUUUUCAAGAAAGUUUUACACUGUAUUUGAUCAGGGGAUGAACAGAAUUGCAUUUGCCGAAAGCAUUCAUGAUAGGCCUGCUCAGCUAAUGAUCUUUCUUUUUUAAUGAGAAAAAGAAAUAACAAUCUAUAAGUACAUUAAUUUCUAUUUUAAACAUUUUACUAUCAUAUUGAGACAUUGUUUUCAACUGUGCGUAAUGUUUUAACCAAUAGAGCAAUUUUUAAUGAUGUAUGUAAGUAAGUAUAUAUGUAUCAAAAAAUUUCAUAGUUUUCUUCAUAAUUUCUUUAGAAACUUCUGUUUAGCACGUAUUGUGCAGAGUGAAUUUCUGCAUCCCAACUACAUUUUGAUCAAAUUUUAUAGACUUUCAAGUUGAAAAAAUUCACUGGAGGCUCCAGUAAUUUCCAAAAAGUCGCUGUAGGCUCCAAAACUACUCGAAAUCUACCUGCAGUCGACUUCUCAUAGCGCAGCGUAUUGAAAUUAGU